GUCGUCUGCGCCGAAUGCCGCGCCCGGGGCCGCUGGUGGCCUCGAGGAUGACGCCCAGGCUCAAGGCAUACGUGGGCGUGCCGCCACCGUAUGACAGGACCAAGCUCAUGGUCAUCCCUGACGCACUCAAGGUUCUAAGGCUGCAACCUGGGCACAAGAACUGCCUCCUCAGCUAGCUCUCCAAGGAGGCCGGAUGGAACUACGCCGACACCAUCAGGAUGUUCGGAAUGGUGGAGAAGGAGAUGGAGUACCAGGUCG